rnacentral:rRNA from 1 species
AGCGAACGCUGGCGGCAGGCUUAACACAUGCAAGUCGAGCGGGCAUCCUUGUGGUGUCAGCGGCAGACGGGUGAGUAACGCGUGGGAACGUGCCCUUCGGUUCGGAAUAACUCAGGGAAACUUGAGCUAAUACCGGAUACAUGCGAGAGCAGAAAGGUUUAUCUGCCGAAGGAUCGGCCCGCGUCUGAUUAGCUAGUUGGUGAGGUUACGGCUCACCAAGGCGACGAUCAGUAGCUGGUCUGAGAGGAUGAUCAGCCACACUGGGACUGAGACACGGCCCAGACUCCUACGGGAGGCAGCAGUGGGGAAUAUUGGACAAUGGGGGCAACCCUGAUCCAGCCAUGCCGCGUGAGUGAUGACGGCCUUAGGGUUAUAAAGCUCUUUUCUCCGGGACGAUAAUGACGGUACCGGAGGAAUAAGCCCCGGCUAACUUCGU